UGCCAGCAGCCGCGGUAAUACGGAGGGGGCUAACGUUGUUCGGAAUUACUGGGCGUAAAGCGCGCGUAGGCGGAUUAGACAGUUGAGGGUGAAAUCCCGGAGCUUAACUCCGGAACUGCCUUCAAUACUACUAAUCUUGAGUUCGGAAGAGGUGAGUGGAAUUCCUAGUGUAGAGGUGAAAUUCGUAGAUAUUAGGAAGAACAUCAGUGGCGAAGGCGACUUACUGGUCCGAUACUGACGCUGAGGUGCGAAAGUGUGGGGAGCAAACAGGAUUAGAUA
rnacentral:rRNA from 1 species